ensembl:lncRNA
AUGUUUCAUGAAUUGUCCUUUAUCCUCCAGGGUGGCUUCCACACGUAUCUGCAGCUAGAGUAUUUGGAGCGAGCUAAUGCUUUGGCCCGACAGAAAGAGGUUUCCUCCGUGCUGCCUGCUGGGCUGCGGAGGCUGUCAUAUGGGGGUCCCGUGCUGCGCAUUCUCUCUAUGCCUGACGACACCUUAAUCAUGAUCAGAGAAGAUGGAGCUAUUUAUUUCUGGUCCCUGCAGCUGAAGUUGAAAAGAAGAAAGCGGGUCUUUGACAAGGCCAGCAGCCAGAACCCCAGGUGGAUGACAGACGUCAUCAGCAUGCUAUACUGCAAUAAACUGAUCACUGGGACCAGAUGAGUGACGCUGCUCUUCAACCCAGAAAUGAACAAUUGGCCAAGAGUGGUGGCUCACGCCUGUAAUCCCAGCACUUUGGGAAGCCGAGGUAGGCAAAUCGUUUGAGCUCAGGAGUUUGAGACCAGCCUGGGCAACAUAGUGAAACCCCGUACCUACCAAAAAUACAAAAAAAUUACGCAACGUGGUGGUGCACACCUGUGGUCCCAGCUACCUGGAGGUUGGGGGCUGAGGCAGGAGAAUUGCUUGAACCCAGGAGGCAGAGGUUGCAGUGAGGCGAGACUGCGCCACUGCACUCCAGCCUGGGCGACACAGUGAGACUCCUCAAAUAAAAAGUAAAAUAAAGAGAAGUGAACAAUCACUGUGUUAUGGAAUCCAUUUUCAUGUAUGAAUUCACAUAAACAGAUACAUGUUUGUGGUAUGAAGAUAAAGUUAGGAGACCCUUUUCAGAAAACACUAAAACUCAUGUGUCAGUCGAAGCUACCAUGCCAGGUUAUCACUUUGGCCUAGUGCAGUGAUGUUGCCAUUGCCCCCAACACAGACCGAGGUUUUCUUUUGGGGAAUACUUCUGGGGCCAAGGUAUGGGCCAGAUUAGAAAAACAUUAGCCUUGGUACUUUUUAAUACACCUUAUUUUACAUUCAACAUAGUUUUCCUGUUUUAUUAGCCACAAAAUUUUGUCUGUAGUGCUCUGAACUGAUCCAAAACAUAAAAUCCUCAGUAGAAAGAUGAUCACACUCACGGCUGAAGCACCUCAGAAGAGUGAGUCUCAGGCUGGGAAUGGAGGCCCUGAGGUUUUAAUCAAUGGCAACAUCACGGAAACGAAUAGGCAGGGUCCUGGGCGCUGCUUGACUCUUCUCAGUAACAGGCCAGGUCAAAGGCGGUGUGGCUUGGUGGGAAGAAAAUUUGGAAAAUGUCAAAUCAACGUUGAAGCAAAAGCAAUUUCUAGGCCAUUGACCACUGCUCACAAAAUAAUAAUAAUAAUUUUUUUUAAAGAGCAAUUUCAACACCGUAGGAGGAUGAAUUAUGAGUGAGCGGGUCCAGGCUGCAAAACGAGGCCAUUUAGUGCUGGGGUCUGGGGGGGGGCGUGGCUACGAGAAGGGAGAGUGAUUGAGGUUCUCACAGCACUGCCCACCAGGACACCCCUGGGGCUCCUUGGAAGCUCAACUUCUUGCAAGGGUUUUCUCCUCUCCACCUUGUCUCUUCCAGAAGUCACCAGUUCCCUAGGAUUUAACCACUUGAAUGAAAAGUUGAAUACAACCUCAAACCAUCUAGGCUAUUAAAUAUAAUUAAUGUUAGUGUUACAUAUCAUAUGUAUACAUUUAUUAAUAUAUUUAAAUCAACAUAUAUUUAUCAAAAUAUAAAUAUCAUUAACAUAAUAAAUAUUAACUAUUCUAAAAGCAAC